AGGACGAACGCUGGCGGCGUGCCUAACACAUGCAAGUCGAACGGGACCAGGGGCAACUCUGGUUCAGUGGCGGACGGGUGCGUAACACGUGAGGAACAUGACCUUCGGCGGGGGAUAGCCGGCCCAACGGCCGGGUAAUACCGCGUACGACCACUUUGGGACAUCCCUGGGUGGUGAAAGCAGCAAUGCGCCGAUGGAGUGCCUCGCGGCCUAUCAGCUAGUUGGUGAGGUAACGGCUCACCAAGGCGACGACGGGU
rnacentral:rRNA from 1 species